UACGUAGGGCGCAAGCGUUGUCCGGAAUUAUUGGGCGUAAAGAGCUCGUAGGCGGCUUGUCACGUCGGGUGUGAAAGCUCGGGGCUUAACCCCGGGUCUGCAUUCGAUACGGGCUGGCUGGAGUGUGGUAGGGGAGAGCGGAAUUUCUGGUGUAGCAGUGAAAUGCGUAGAUAUCAGAAGGAACAUCAGUGGCGAAGGCGGCUUCCUGGACCAAUACUGACGAUCAGGUGCGAAAGCGUGGGGAGCAAACAGG
rnacentral:rRNA from 1 species